rnacentral:rRNA from 1 species
UACAGGGGGGGCAAGCGUUGUUCGGAAUUACUGGGCGUAAAGGGCUCGUAGGUGGCCAACUAAGUCAGACGUGAAAUCCCUCAGCUUAACUGGGGAGCUGCGUCUGAUACUGGAUGGCUUGAGUUUGGGAGAGGGAUGCGGAAUUCCAGGUGUAGCGGUGAAAUGCGUAGAUAUCAGGAGGAACACCGGUGGCGAAGGCGGAUUUCUGGACCAGUUCUGACACUGAUGAGCGAAAGCCAGGGGAGCAAACAGG